UACGUAGGGUGCGAGCGUUGUCCGGAAUUACUGGGCGUAAAGAGCUCGUAGGUGGUUUGUCGCGUUGUCCGUGAAAACUCACAACUCAAUUGUGGGCGUGCGGGCGAUACGGGCAGACUGGAGUACUGCAGGGGGAGACUGGAAUUCCUGGUGUAGGCGGUGGGAAAUGCGCAGAUAUCGGGAGGAACACCAAUGGCGGAAGG
rnacentral:rRNA from 1 species